rnacentral:rRNA from 1 species
GAUGAACGCUAGCGGCAGGCCUAAUACAUGCAAGUCGAGGGGCAGCACGAUCUUCGGAUUGGUGGCGACCGGCGCACGGGUGCGUAACGCGUAUGCAACCUACCCUAUACAGGGGGAUAGCCCGAGGAAACUCGGAUUAAUACCCCAUGGCACCAUAAUUUCGCAUGGGAUAAUGGUUAAAGAUUUAUUGGUAUAGGAUGGGCAUGCGUUAGAUUAGUUAGUUGGUGAGGUAAUGGCUCACCAAGACUACGAUCUAUAGGGGACCUGAGAGGGUGAUCCCCCACACUGGUACUGAGAUACGGACCAG